GCGUGGUGUACGACUGUGGGCCCCAGCGCGCUUGGAAUAAAAAUCCUCUUGCUGUUUGCAUCAAGACCGCUUCUCGUGAGUGAUUUGGGGUGUCGCCUCUUCCGAGCCCGGACGAGGGGGAUUGUUCUUUUACUGGCCUUUCAUUUGGUGCGUUGGCCGGGAAAUCCUGCGACCACCCCUUACACCCGAGAACCGACUUGGAGCCUUUGUUCUCUAGGCUCAAGGCGCUCGAGUGGGUGAGGCAACGAGCGUGGAAGCAGCUCCGGGAGGCCUACUCAGGAGAAGGAGACUUGCAAGUUCCACAUCGCUUCCAAGUGGGAGAUUCAGUCUAUGUUAGACGCCACCGUGCAGGAAACCUCGAGACUCGGUGGAAGGGCCCUUAUCUCGUACUUUUGACCACACCAACGGCUGUGAAAGUCGAAGGAAUCUCCACCUGGAUCCAUG